rnacentral:rRNA from 1 species
UACGUAGGGUGCGAGCGUUAAUCGGAAUUAUUGGGCGUAAAGAGCGCGCAGGUGGUUGAUUAAGUCUGAUGUGAAAGCCCACGGCUUAACCGUGGAGGGUCAUUGGAAACUGGUCGACUUGAGUGCAGAAGAGGGAAGUGGAAUUCCAUGUGUAGCGGUGAAAUGCGUAGAGAUAUGGAGGAACACCAGUGGCGAAGGCGGCUUCCUGGUCUGUAACUGACACUGAGGCGCGAAAGCGUGGGGAGCAAACAGGAUUAGAUACCCCGGUA